UCGCGACAAUUGUAGCUGUUUCCACCAGGACUGCUUACUCUCUCGACAAAAGUAUUGCGUGGAAGGUGGUAGCCAUAAUUACCUCUGCCAUUGCAGCUGUAUCUGGCACAUACUGGGACCUUGUGUAUGACUGGGGACUCCUUGAUCAGAAGUCUAAAAACCGGUGGUUACGAGACAAGCUAUUGGUUCCACAUAAAAAUGUUUACUAUGUAGCCAUGGUUAGUAUCCAAGAAUUCAUACCUUUAUCUUCUGCUACUCGAACGAUACUAACUUAACUUUGUGUGGUACCUGCAGGUGCUGAAUGUCAUACUGAGACUUGCUUGGCUUCAGACAGUGUUGGACAUCAAUUUUACUUUUCUGCACAGAGAGACUCAGAUCACAGUUGUAGCCAGCUUAGAAAUCAUUCGUCGUGGUGUCUGGAACUUCUUCAGGUAAAAUAACUUGCUGCCUUGCAGAUUUCUGUUGAUUUGUAUUUAUAUCCAAGGAUGGAAUCGGGAAGGCUAACCCAGGCUGAAGUCCUGGCUGAGUCGAGAAAACAAUGAAAAUUCUUAAUAUCAAUAUAUUUUUUUUAUUUGAGCCCGGGCUAAUCUCUCGUAUUCACUAUAUAACUUUUAUUCAAUUGCAUAUAUAUCACUAAUGAAGUCUGAAUAUUUGUUAUUUGCGUAGGCUGGAAAAUGAACAGCUGAAUAAUUCGGAGAAGUAUCGUGCUUUCAAGUCGGUGCCGCUACCUUUCACGUAUGAUGAUUGAUGAGGGCUGAAAUUGAGAAGAUAAAAGUAGUUAUAUUCUUCCAAGCGCCGCUCCUUAACCAUCUUCCCGUCGUCCUCGUUGCUAUCACCAUCCAUUUCCCUUCUCUCUUCUCCGUUCACUUGUGACUUGACGAUGCAAAAACACUUCCGUUAAAAAACAUAUUUACAAAAUAUACAAAUCUAUCAAAAAUAUGCAUCUCCGUUUAUGUUCAAAUCAAAGACAAUUUGACUGUUAGAGAUUUGCUAUGAUUGAUGAUGAAAAAACACUUUAAUUAUUUUUUAAUUUUGUUAUUAUGUAGCUGAUCAACGGAUGGCAUAAUUAAUGUAGUAUCCAUUGAUCGGAUUACCCAUCAACGAUUAAUAAGGUGUUAUAACAAAGGGUCUUUCUAAUGUGUGCCCAAGGGCACACAAUAAACACCAAAAUGGUGUUUUGGUGUUGGGUUGGAGCAUUUUGGUGUCAAAUUUGGUGUCAAAUUCACUCCAACCCAACACCAAUUUGGUGUAAAGUUGACACCAAAUGAAUUGGUUGACAUCAAAUUUGGUGUCAAGUAUUGAUUUGGUGCAACUUUUACACCAAAUUUGGAGUUUUCCAAAAUACCUACUAUACCCUCACAUAUGUUAAUGAAAACAAAAUUAUUCCAUCUAUGUCCCAUUAAAUCUGAGUCUAGGCCUCGCGGUCUUAGCAUUAGGCAGUGUGCUAGCAAACCUUGAUAUGGAACUAGACCCUAAAACAGGCGACUAUAAAAAAUUCACUGAGCUACUUCCUCUUUUUUUAGUUGUGGUAAGAUCAUGAAGCCUUUGUAAAAUUCUAUGUUCCCAAACCAAGCAAACUGACCCAAUCCUCACUCUGUCUACAGUUGGUAAUUGUCAUCCUCAUCUGCCCAUUCAACAUUAUAUAUCGUCCUAGCCGCUUCUUCUUUCUCACUUGCCUGUUUCAUGCUAUUUGUGCUCCUCUGUACAAGGUAUGAUAGAAUGCUGCGAGUCUCUAGCAGUAGAAAAAUAUAAUCAACUCACUAGUCUUUUCUCUUCAGGUUGUACUUCCGGAUUUUAUACUGGCUGAUCAGUUUACCAGUCAGGUACGUUAAACAUUUUUUAUGCUACACCAAUCAAUCAGGAAAUUACCGCUACCUAUGCUAAUAUUGUAGUAAUAUUUUCCAGGUCCAAGCUUUCAGAAGCUUUGAGUUUUAUAUCUGUUACUAUUUCUCUGGCAACUACAAACUUAGAGAUAACAGUUGCAGUAGUAAUGACGUUUACAAGACUUUCGGUUUCAUUGUAGCUACGAUUCCAUACACGUGGCGCCUUCUUCAGGUACUACUACAAAAAAAACAAAAAACAAGUAAGCUGGAAAAAUGUAUUUUUCAUCGCCCUCUAUAAUUCAAGCGUGUUGAUAGAAAUAUUAACAAGAAAUAAAUGUGUCUUCUUCCCUUUUCUACAUUACUCAGGGUUAUCAGUAAAAAAAAAAAAAGAUAGUAUUGUAUAUACAAGACUAACUGAAUUAACAAUCAAAAUAUGUAAUUUUCUCACGAACUUUAAUAGAGUUAUGAAGUUAGAUCAUUAUAACUUCUAGAGUUGAAAGAAUAUAAAUGUGACUUCAAUCAUUCAGUGUCUCAGGCGUUUCUUUGAAGAGAAGGAUAAUAUGCAGGGAUUGAAUGGAUUGAAAUAUUUCGCGACAAUUGUAGCUGUUUCCACCAGGACUGCUUACUCUCUCGACAAAAGUAUUGCGUGGAAGGUGGUAGCCAUAAUUACCUCUGCCAUUGCAGCUGUAUCUGGCACAUACUGGGACCUUGUGUAUGACUGGGGACUCCUUGAUCAGAAGUCUAAAAACCGGUGGUUACGAGACAAGCUAUUGGUUCCACAUAAAAAUGUUUACUAUGUAG
rnacentral:lncRNA from 1 species